CUACGGGUGGCACCAGUGGGGAAUAUUGCACAAUGGGCGCAAGCCUGAUGCAGCCAUGCCGCGUGUAUGAAGAAGGCCUUCGGGUUGUAAAGUACUUUCAGCGGGGAGGAAGGGAGUAAAGUUAAUACCUUUGCUCAUUGACGUUACCCGCAGAAGAAGCACCGGCUAACUCCGUGCCAGCAGCCGCGGUAAUACGGAGGGUGCAAUCGUUAAUCGGAAUUACUGGGCGUAAAGCGCACGCAGGCGGUUUGUUAAGUCAGAUGUGAAAUCCCCGGGCUCAACCUGGGAACUGCAUCUGAUACUGGUAAGCUUGAGUCUCGUAGAGGGGGGUAGAAUUCCAGGUGUAGCGGUGAAAUGCGUAGAGAUCUGGAGGAAUACCGGUGGCGAAGGCGGCCCCCUGGACGAAGACUGACGCUCAGGUGCGAAAGCGUGGGGAGCAAACAGGAUUAGAUACCCCCGUAGUC
rnacentral:rRNA from 1 species